CAAAACCAUAGGAAUCCAAAUAUUCUUAGCCAACUGCUCACACCAUUUUCAGAAUCAGUUGGUUCGGAGUGAUUUCAUCACCAGCUUUGAUACCAGUGUUCUCUUCGUUUCAAUCCAUGAUGCUGUCAUUUAUACCGUAUCCAACGUCUCCCACAAGCUAAGAGAAACAAGAUGCUGAGGCGUGAAAAUAAAAGAAAUAAAAGAUAUUAACUCAUAUGUGCAUGCGCAGAAAGCCUUGACCCAUUUGUGAACGUGAUUAGCUACAUUUUUUUCUGACGUCACUUGAUUUGAAAGCAAGAAAAUCUAAGAGUACGUAUAUGAAAAGUAUAAGACAAGUAAUGAUUUAUUGCAUAUAUUUCUAUAUUGAA